rnacentral:rRNA from 1 species
UCUGCUCAAUGACAACUUAAAUAGCUGCAUAAUAAUGUACUAAGGUAGCAUAAUAAUUAGCCUUUUAAUUGAAGGAUAGAAUGAAAGAAUCAACGAGUCAAUAUUUCAUCUUUCAUCACAACAUAAAAAUUACUAUUAAUGUAAAAAAGCCUUUACACUUAAGAAGGACGACAAGACCCUAGCGAACUUAAACACUAUGUUAAACUGGGGCAGUUAUAAAACCAAACCUUUUAUCAAUCUCUCUAAUAAUACGAGGAUAUCUCACAACAAAACAAGUUACCGUAGGGAUAACAGCAUAAUUCUUUUUAAGAGCACUCAUCUAAAAAAGAGAUUAUGACCUCGAUGUUGAAUUAUCUUCCCAUAACAAGCAAGCUUGUUACAAUAAUGGUCUGUUCGACCACAAAUAGAUACAU